rnacentral:rRNA from 1 species
GGGGUACACGAGCGGCGAACGGGUGAGUAACACGUGGGUGAUCUGCCCUGCACUUCGGGAUAAGCCUGGGAAACUGGGUCUAAUACCGGAUAUGACCUCCUAUCGCAUGGUGGGUGGUGGAAAGAUUUAUCGGUGCAGGAUGGGCCCGCGGCCUAUCAGCUUGUUGGUGGGGUAAUGGCCUACCAAGGCGACGACGGGUAGCCGACCUGAGAGGGUGACCGGCCACACUGGGACUGAGACACGGCCCAGACUCCUACGGGAGGCAGCAGUGGGGAAUAUUGCACAAUGGGCGAAAGCCUGAUGCAGCGACGCCGCGUGAGGGAUGACGGCCUUCGGGUUGUAAACCUCUUUCAGCAGGGACGAAGCGCAAGUGACGGUACCUGCAGAAGAAGCACCGGCUAACUACGUGCCAGCAGCCGCGGUAAUACGUAGGGUGCAAGCGUUGUCCGGAAUUACUGGGCGUAAAGAGUUCGUAGGCGGUUUGUCGCGUCGUUUGUGAAAACCAGCAGCUCAACUGCUGGCUUGCAGGCGAUACGGGCAGACUUGAGUACUGCAGGGGAGACUGGAAUUCCUGGUGUAGCGGUGAAAUGCGCAGAUAUCAGGAGGAACACCGGUGGCGAAGGCGGGUCUCUGGGCAGUAACUGACGCUGA